UACGAAGGGGGCUAGCGUUGUUCGGAAUUACUGGGCGUAAAGCGCGUGUAGGCGGCUUGGCAAGUCGGGUGUGAAAGCCCUGGGCUCAACCUAGGAAGUGCACUCGAAACUGCUUCGCUUGAAUGUCGGAGAGGAAAGCGGAAUUCUCGGUGUAGAGGUGAAAUUCGUAGAUAUCGAGAGGAACACCGGUGGCGAAGGCGGCUUUCUGGACGAUGAUUGACGCUGAGACGCGAAAGCGUGGGGAGCAAACAGG
rnacentral:rRNA from 1 species